UCCAGACUCCUACGGGAGGCAGCAGUGGGGAAUAUUGCACAAUGGGGGAAACCCUGAUGCAGCGACGCCGCGUGAGUGAAGAAGUAUUUCGGUAUGUAAAGCUCUAUCAGCAGGAACGAGACAAGACGGUACCUGACUAAGAAGCCCCGGCUAACUACGUGCCGGCAGCCGCGGUAAUACGUAGGGGGCAAGCGUUAUCCGGAUUUACUGGGUGUAAAGGGAGCGUAGGCGGGAAAGCAAGUCAGAUGUGAAAACCAUGGGCUCAACCUGUGGCCUGCAUUUGAAACUGUUUUUCUUGAGUACUGGAGAGGCAGACGGAAUUCCUAGUGUAGCGGUGAAAUGCGUAGAUAUUAGGAGGAACACCAGUGGCGAAGGCGGUCUGCUGGACAGCAACUGACGCUGAGGCGCGAAAGCGUGGGGAGCAAACAGGAUUAGAUACCCUAGUAACU
rnacentral:rRNA from 1 species